GGAGAUAGAUCUUUCUCAAUAGGAAGGGAACUGAGAGAUAGAGGGUCUCUCCAGGUAUCUCAGGCUGUCCUCGAACUCAUGGCGAUCCUCCUGCCUCAGCCUCUGGAAUGCUGGGAUUACAGGUGUGCCCCUCCACACCCAGCGCAAUUUUGAUCUUUAACAGACUGUUCUGGUCACUGACAAGGGCCUGAGCCAGGAGUCGAGCAGGCAGGGUGUGGUGAGGUGGAGAGAAUCGGUGGAUGGUGACUUGCUGGGAGACAGGGCCGACAGGACUGGCUGAGGGCUGAGCCAUGGACCCUGGGGGACAGCAGAGUUGGGGACACCUGACAGAGGAACUGGAGGGGAUUCAGCGGAGGACGCCAAGCGCUGGGGUCGGGACUCUCUUCGCUUCAUCUCACGACAGCGCAGGGCAGACCCGGGUGGAACACCGGACGAGGGACUGUAUCCUGGGGACAGAGCCACGGGAGAGGCCGAAGAGAAGACCCGAGCUUCCUGGUUGCCACGGAUUGAGCAUCUUUCCUCUGCCAUUUCCUCCUACCACGCCACGCCUGCCUUAGAAACAGCCACCUAUGGACUGAAUCCAUAAAAUGUGAACCAGAACAGACCUCUCCUUCUUGUUUGUUUUUGGUACCGGAGAUCGAACUCAGGACGUCACGCUUAGGAGGCAGGUGGUGGAAGCACUGAGCUAAAUCCCCAGCCCCAACCUCUCCUUCUUUAGGUCAUAGGUGUCAGGUAUUCUGUUCCAGCUACAUGAAGAUGAUUAACACAGAGUUGCCACUAAUUUCUUUGCCCCAGGAAGCCACACUGUCUUGGAUUCACUGUCUUGGUAAUAGAGGAGUUUCAUUUCCAAGUAUAGUAAGUCCCCAACCUUCGAAUAU
rnacentral:lncRNA from 1 species